UCUUGUGCUCCAGUCACGAA
rnacentral:misc_RNA from 1 species